UACGGAGGGUGCGAGCGUUGUCCGGAAUCAUUGGGCGUAAAGGGCGCGUAGGCGGCCCACCAAGUCAGGCGUGAAAGCCCCGGGCUCAACCUGGGAACGGCGCUUGGGACUGAUGGGCUGGAGUUCGGGAGAGGAGAGUGGAAUUCCCAGUGUAGAGGUGAAAUUCGUAGAUAUUCGCAAGAACACCAGUGGCGAAGGCGGCUCACUGGCCCGAUACUGACGCUGAGGCACGAAAGCGUGGGGAGCAAACAGG
rnacentral:rRNA from 1 species